GACAGAGGGUGCAAACGUUGUUCGGAAUUACUGGGCGUAAAGCGCACGUAGGCGGAUCAGCAAGUUAGGGGUGAAAUCCCGGGGCUCAACCCCGGAACUGCCUUUAAGACUGUUGGUCUGGAGUCCGAGAGAGGUGAGUGGAAUUCCGAGUGUAGAGGUGAAAUUCGUAGAUAUUCGGAGGAACACCAGUGGCGAAGGCGGCUCACUGGCUCGGUACUGACGCUGAGGCACGAAAGCGUGGGGAGCAAACAGG
rnacentral:rRNA from 1 species